rnacentral:rRNA from 1 species
GUGAGGAAUAUUGGUCAAUGGGCGAGAGCCUGAACCAGCCAAGUCGCGUGAAGGAAGACGGCCCUACGGGUUGUAAACUUCUUUUGCAAUGGAAUAAAAAGAGUUACGUGUAAUUCAUUGUAUGUACAUUGCGAAUAAGGAUCGGCUAACUCCGUGCCAGCAGCCGCGGUAAUACGGAGGAUCCGAGCGUUAUCCGGAUUUAUUGGGUUUAAAGGGUGGGUAGGCGGAUUGGAAAGUCAGCGGUGAAAGUUUGCAGCUUAACUGUAAAAUUGCCAUUGAAACUGUCAGUCUUGAGUGCAAAUGAGGUAGGCGGAAUGUGUUGUGUAGCGGUGAAAUGCAUAGAUAUCACGCAGAACUCCGAUUGCGAAGGCAGCUUACUAAGCUACAACUGACACUGAAGCACGAAAGCGUGGGGAUCAAACAGGAUUAGAAACCCCGGUAGUCC